GGGUGUACUAAAUUUAUAGCCCUGUCAUCCCUAGAAUAAGUGUCUUUGUUAUACACAAGCACAAUUGUUUAGCUUUGUCAUCUCUAGACUAUAUUAGACUUAUCGCAGAAAAGGAUAUGUAGUGCCUUCCUUUCUCCAAUGAUAAGCAUAAAACAUCUAGUAGUAAGGGGUCUCAGAAUACUAGUCAAGUGCUACCCCUCUUUGUAUAUGAAUAAGGUAACAACUGUGAGUGUAGUUGCAUCCCCUAGAAAUAGAGUGGUCGAUACAUAUGUGACAAAUUUCUGACUGAAUACUAGUAAACUUGGUUUGAAUUAAAAAGAAACACCCAAUGACAACUGCUGCACUAUUACCUCUAGAAGAAUUAUUCAAUAAGAAGCAUUGAUUUGAUGAAGUUGGGAUGGGAUGGGAGGGGUAGAACAUACCUCGUUAGCUUCCAACUUUCAGAGCUGCAGGAAAUCUAAAACUGAUGGGACAUCUGAGUUAUUGGCAGAAGUUACCUACAACGUAAAGGUUAUUCAUUUCAAGAAAGCACACAAAAUCUGGUGUUGAUACCGAAAUGAUAAAUAACUUAUUUCUAAGUCUGAAUUGAAUUUACACAAUAGCUUAUUGGUCACAUUGUAGACAAGGUCGUGCACUAGGAACAUUCACGUAUCAGAAGUUGGUGCUCAAAAUCUGCAAAGAGAUCAUUCAGUAUAACAACCUUUGCAUCAACUUGAUGAAUAAGAAGUGCAUUGUCGUCCACACUCGCAACAAUCCUGCUGGAAUCUCUAUAUACGUAACUAUUUCAUGGCUACACAAAACAUUACCAUUUGAACAUUCCCUUUAUAAUUUUAACAAUUAUAAUUGAUGUUAAAGUUACAAGUUAAAACAAAGUAAAAUAGAAGGGGACAUAUACUUAAAUUAAAAGAUAGAUAUAGAGAGAGGGGAAGCACGAAAGGAAGAAAUGAAAAGGAAAAGAAAAAGGAGAAAAGAAGAGAAAGGGGAGAUGAUAUACUUUUGUGGGAGAGUAGAAGAAAGAAAAAAAAAAAAAAAAAACAAGGGUUGUUUUGUUUGAUUUUUUGUUUGUUUUGGUGAUGAUAGCGUGUUGUUUUUUUUGUUUGUUCGUUGAUGGUGAUGAGAAAGAAAAAAGGCUUUGUUUGAAAGUAGUGAGCACAUUCACUUUGAGAGAGAUUCAAUUCUUUGUGUGUAAGCCCUUUUUAUACUAUUGAGGUAUGCUUGUAUUUAUAGAGGUGAAAGACUUGGAGCUUCAAAGACAAAAACAGUUGUGUUUUCCUUGCUAAAAACAGCCCUGUGCUUAUGUUUUUGUUGCUUGGUGCGCAAGAAUGAGAAAAAUGUGCAUUUUGUCCAUGCAAAAUGUUCUCCAGAACGUUCUGGAACUUGCAAAGAGAAAAGGUUGACACGUGAAUGCAAGCUGUAGAAGUUUGGAGGCCACUUGUUUUUACAACUGUUUGACACUUCUUUGACAGCUACAAGUGUUGUCCUUUGUUGCUUUGAAAGCAAGAAUGUCCAAGUUGUAAAGUUUGCCACAUGGAGAAUGUUCUUAAGAACAUUCUUGUUGUUCCUUUCCUUUUUGAGACAACCACACGUGAUGAAAAAAAAUAGUUGUGAUCUGGUGGCAACAUGAGGGGACAUGAUAAUGUCAUUCUUAUCCCUUUGAAGUUCCACCGAAAUGUUCUCAAGAACAUUCUUUUAGUUCCAUGCACUUUUGAAGCAAAACGUGUGGUGUUGUGCAGCUGUAAUCUAGUGGCAUACUAGAUGGGACAUAAUGAUGUCACUUUGUUUCACUCGUAGUACGACCAGAACGUUCUGGUAGACUAUUCUUGAUGAAUUUUCAUUUUAUGUCUUUUUUAAUAAAAAUAAAAACAAACAACAUAAUAAAAUAAUGAUAAUAAUAAUAACGAAAAGGACUAGAAUAAAAUGACUAAAAAGAGUGGUCAAAAAAAUGAACCAAAAAUGAGGUAUUUUAAAAUAUGUCUCUGCCGAAAUUUUUCCUAAAAGGAAAAAAAAUUCCGGGCCAAAAAACAAAUGAAAUGGGAUCUUAGGUUAAAAAUUGGGAUAUGACAAUUACAUAACAAUGUUUUUUUUUGUUUUUUUGAAGGAAUUACGUAACAAUGUUGUUACACCAAUUAUUUAUUUUCUUCACAACCCUUCUUCAAAUAAAAACAUUUUUUUCCUUCUAUAUUCUCUAUUGUUUUUCAAGCAAAUAAUUAAUCUCUUCAUCUUAUCCUUAUUUUCCUUUUCUUCUUUCAAUAUCUAUUCAACUUUUUUUCCCUAAGUUAGAAAAUUAUAAAGUGAUUUAUUAGUAAAUAACAUGAUCAAAAAAGUCCAUUGUGAAACUUGUGCCAAAAUCUCUAGCCUACGGUACAUACAUAUGCAAAAACCACACAUCAAAAAACAAAAUUAACUAGAAGUUAAAUUAGCAUUCGUAGAUUUAUUCAUCGUAGCCAUAAAUCAGAACAAAAAUUGGAGCUGGGCGAGGAGGGAUGAAAUUGAAACAAAAAUCCCAAAGAAAUUUCAUCUGAAAUCCAGAAUCUAGAUUAAGUGCAUAAUGAUAAACCGGUAAAAGAAAAAGAAAAACAGAAAGUUGUAGUACUAAGUAAAUGCAACGUUAAGCACGAACUCCCCUAAGGCUAACCAUGCGGGUAGAUACAUCUCCAUGGGGUCCCCUCAGCGCUGAACCCCCUUGAGUCCUACUUGAAUUCUGAUAGCCGCCUCCACCCAUUCCCCGUCCUCUAGAAUAGCCGCCACUCCCACCAGCUUGAUUGAAUGACAAUGCCCUUCCACCAUAUCCUGCGCGUCCACUGCCUUGUCUUGUUUGAGAAUAGGACAAGUCUUGCCACCUGCCACCUGAAGACGUUCCACCACCACCGCCAGCAGCUGCAGCGGCAUAAUCCUGCCCAUCUCUCCGCCUUGGAGGCAGAUCCAACCCACCACCACCUAAUCUUGCUUCUGAAGCUCUUUCAUUACUCUCUGCAAGGAUAGAUAAUUUCUCAGUCAACUGGAAUGCCAAAGCCUGCACCCUUGAGAGUUCAACAUUUCUGAAAAUAAUGCACCCAGUUGGCUGAUCCCAGCUUGCAUGAAGCUCCUCAUUGAUCAUCAUCCUACUGACAAUACUAUGAGCACGAGGAAGAGAGAGAUCGAAAAAAUUUGUGAGCUGAUCCACGCUCAAAGAAUCAUAUGAUGAAGAGAAGGUAAAUAGGUAUGUCCUAAGCGCCUCCUCCUUGAUUUUGUCCUUCAGCAUUUCUAGCACGGUGUCACGAUUUUUCACAAAUUUCCACACCUCAAGAGAUGCAAUAAUGUCAAAGGCCUUCUGGAAAUCGCCAUUAAUAAGAACCCUUGUGGCAGCCAUAACAUGAUCCCUGACAGUUUCAGGAGGACCGGUGAAUGUUUGUUUCUCACUGACCUCAAGCAAGCGGCGGAAAUUCUUACUGAUGAUCUUACGCUUAGCAUCAUGAACAUUGGCUGCCAUGUUGGGAACUUCCAGCAGCAUAGCAGAUGUAAGAUGCACUGAUUCCAGGAGCUCAAGAUUUAUAUGCAUAUGAUAUGGCAUCUGCCGUCUUCUUUCCAACCUUUCCUGAAAGAUAGUUAAAAAAGAGUUUACUGUAUGUUAAACAUAAAUCUCUCACAUUUCCAAGGCAGCUGAAAGAAACUGACUCAGUAGAUGGAAAUAUGACAAAAGUUGCCAAUUAGGAUUUCCAAAAAAAAAAUAAAAAAUACAUUCCAAUAUAAAGUAUGAGUCUUCAUUGUUUUAGUUUCACAACAUCAUAAAAAAUCCUAGUCCAAAAACUUGGGGUUCGAACCUACCAAGACAGAAAACUUUCAGUUAUGCUCAAACAAGUGGAAUAGAUGAAAGUAAUAAUAGAAUGGACAGAAGUUUUUUUUAAGAAAUUAAAAAAAAAUGGCAUAGUCUGAUUUCACUGCAAGGUUAUCUAUAAUUCUCACAAAAGUUUCCUCAUCUAUUUCAGUUACUAUCAAAUUCAGGCACACUGUUUGUUAGCCAAACUCAACUACCAAAGGUAAUUUAAAAAUCUUGAGUUGAGAGGGGUAAAAAAACUCAUGCUUCCUUUCAUACUUUAUUAGUUUAAUAUUAUCCUUUUUCCUUUGCUUACUAUGGUUUAUACAAUAGGGAGCCUCUAACACAGUCUUUGUAAACAAAACCGACCCCUAGUGUUUUCCAUAUGUGCAACCGUUGUAUAAUAAUUUUAAAAAAUUGUGAAUAGAUGCUAAGAAAAUUGCAACUUCUGUAACAGGAUAAAGUUUAAAAUAAAUAAUAACAAACUAAAAACAGAAAACAAAAGAUAUGUGAUUCAAUUGAAUAUGAUGAUUCAAAGGAAAUUCAGCAACAAAGAGAACAGAGCAAUAUGCAGCCAAUAAUAUUAUACCUCAUAAUUGAUUAAUCCCAGUCAAUAUGAAUGUAAAGAUAAAUAAAGCACCUAAACUGCAAUCAAGAGCACAGUUGAUUUUAAAUUAUUUCUAUGAAAAAUCAAACAGGGAAUUCUUUAGAGCAGUCACUUUGGAUCCAUAAAAAUUAUAUUACUUGACACCAUAUCAUAUAUAUUUCAUAUAUAUUGUAAACCUGUAUGAACUUCACCACAAUAAGUACAGUAAUAAAAGCUGGGAUUGAGUACCUGUUCUGGAGUCUUUUCAUGAUAACGGUUCUGUGAAACUCCUUGUGCAAGCAGUUCUUUCACCCGUCCACCAGAAUAAAGUUCAGACAAACAGCCAUGUGCUUCAGAAACCAGGCCAACACGAAAAGCACAUAGACCUAACUGUGACAUAGCCCUGUUAAAGAGUAUCUGUGUCGAAAUGUCCAUGUGGUGAACAUUUUCUUGCAAAUGACUCAUAAGCAACAGAUCACGGGCAACUGCAAACUCAUCUAGAAGAGCAUGGUGAUAUAUAUCACAAAGCAUUGCGCGUGCUUUAGUGCGCUCAUCUCCGUAUUUGUAUAUUAGUGAUACCAACACAUCCAUUAAGGUCCUGCUAUUCUCCGGGAAAGUGGGUUUCCGGGCCACAAGCUCUGGGGUAACAACAAAUGGAGCAAUGAUUCUUGUAUCCACAAAACCUUUUGACUCCUCACUCACCUCCUCUCCGUUAUCUCCAUCUACCGUCAGCUCAGCCAAUUUUCUCGUUGCUUCAUAAACCUCAUGUGGUUUGUAGUAAAUGAGUUCAACCCUCUUCAAGGCCACCUUAGAAGAAGCUUUGAAAUCUCCGAUGCUUUCAAGAUAUUCCUGGACAUUCUGUGCAAGAACAACAAACAGAGGCUCAUCCCUGAGUCUCUCAACAUAUUCACGUGUGUGGGGAUCUAUGCACUGCAAGCUCUUGAAAAAUUCGGCAUCUAUUUUUUCUAAGAAAGCAACUAAGUUGCCCCAGACAUGAAUGGGUCCGUCAUAGUCAUCCCCUUUCUUAGAUUCAUUCUCAUCUAGUUCCACAGAAUCAUCAACCUUUAUGUUUGGGUGCUGCACGAGAAUAUCAAGAAUGACCAGCAUAUUCUGCACGCACUUUUUCCACACAUUUAUGGGCAUAUGCCCACUGAGGCCAGGAUUAACAUCAAACUGAGCAGAAACCACACUGAAAAGAAUUUGCAGCUUCUGUGCAGGUGUUUUAGCAACUUUUGUUAGGAAGGUAAACUGCUCAACCUGUUCAAACCUUCCAGUUCCCUUCCUGCCCCUGGCUUCCAGAAUCUCUUUGAACUUGUUGUUAACAGUAUCCCAUGUGAUCUCACUAGGCUUUUUCAUGAACAUUUUCUCCAAAAGCCUAUCUUUCUUUCUAAGCUUUUGAUCCCAAGGGGCAUCGUCAUCAUCACCAGGCCUGUCAUUACCAAGCUCAGAAGUUUCAGAAUCCGAUACGGGCUCCGGCUUCUUGAGCUGAUCAGGUUCAAUGAUCUCAUCAUCAUCGGACCCAUAUUGGUCAGAGUCCUCAUCGUCUUCAAACUUUUCCUCCUCACUCUGAGGAGUCUCCCUGAAUUUGAUAAUCAAGUCCUCGUAUUGCUUAUUGUUCUUCUUCAAUUUUUGCUUCAUUGAGUUGAAGGCUUUGGCAUUGGUGGGACUCAUCUUCUUUUUGGCAUCCUUAUUAGAAGAAGCCUGAGCGAGGAAAUCUUCAAGCAUUACAAGAGCCUUGAUGUAGAGAUUGGGGAUCUUUUGGGACUCUAUAACACGCAUAACUUUGUCGAGCUGUUUGUUGAUCUUAUCAAAGGUCUCUUGCAAGCUGACCCAGUCAUUGAUCUUGAUGGCAUUCUUGAUCUGAUCGACAGUGGAAGCCAUCUCAUCAAAACGCUUAUCUUUAGCAGACUUAACAACACGCUUUUGGCCAUCAUCAUCGUCACUGUCAUCAGGAUGAAUACCAGCAAUGUAUCUAUUGGCUGUAUUGUUUGUGGGUUCAUCAACGGGUUCAGUAUCGCUACUAGGUUCAUCAAUAUCAGUGGGUUCGUCAUCGUCACUAUCGCUAUUACCCUAAGAAUAAUAAUAAUAAUAAUAAUAAUAAUUAAAUUGAAUAAACACAGAGACGGUGCAAAGAAAUUAAAACAAGAAGAAGAAUAGAGAAGUUAGCAUAGCAUAAUACCUGUGUCCAGAAUCUCGAAGCCAUUGGUUUGGUUGUUAUGAGAAUUUAGUUUUGCGCGAUGAAUAGGAAGAGCUAACCUAAGCUACUAUUUGAUUCGAUUUAAUUUAUUUAUAUAUUUAUAGGGUUUUUAGUUGAGUAAAUCAUCAAUUUUGUUCUCUCAAUUUGCACUAAUCAGCCAAAUUCGUCCCUCAAUUUAACGAAAUAUCAAAAUAGUCUCUGAAUUUGUAAAAUGUUCGUCAAUUUUGUCCUUCCGUCCAAAUGGAGGGUUAACGGUGCUGAUGUGGUCGUUAACAUCUCAUAUGUCAGAUGCCACGUAAGCAGGAACUAAGUUGGCCGAUAAUGACUUAAAUUUUCAAGGACUAAGUUGAUUGAAUUUCAGAAAAUUGCUCUUCUUCCCCCAACGGCUCUCUUCCUUCUCCAACGGCUAUUUCUUCCCCAAAUAUAUAAAAUUGAAACUCUAAUUUUACAAUGUGUAUUCUACACUCCAAAAUCUCCAAAUUUGCUUCCAAUAAUUAAGAGUCACGUUCUUCCCCAAAUCAAAAAAUUGCAAACCCUAAUUUUUUUUAAUUGAAUAUGAAAACCAAAAUCUUCAAAAUUCAUUCAAGCAAAACUGUUGAAAUUGAAACAAAAAUGAUUGGGGGUGGUCAUAUGGGCAAAAAGAGCUAUCAAAGUCAAGUUUCAUCUUCAUCUUCCAUGUUUAAUGGUGAUGUGAGAGUGCUUGAAUGUUGUGUGGGUUGAUAAAGCUGAAGAACUAGGUUACUUUAAAAACAAUGGAAUUUGUGCUGCUCAUGGAAGAAAGACAAGAAUGAUGGAGAAGGUUCAGUCCAUGCUUAAGGCUAAGGAAAGUGGCAAUGACGAGGUUUGGAGGCAACGUUGAUGGACAAAGUUGAUUGUACAGGAAGUGAGCUUAGGGUGAUUAAAUUUAUGAUAGUUAUAAUCUGCUUGUUUGAGUUUUGCAACAUGCUAAUGUAUAUUUCUAAGGUUGUGUAGAGUUGUAAUGAUUUUACCAUGAAAAGAGGUUGAAGAUGAAUGAAAUGUUGCGUAUCUGUUAUAAUUUUACCAUCAGAUUAGUCCCUGAAUUAUUUGUGUUACUAUCAAAUCGAUCCCUGAAUUAUUUUAAAAACCAUAAAAAAAGUCCCUGAAUUAUAUUAACAGAAAUCAAGUUGAUCCCUGAGGCAUAAAUUUGCAAAACAACAUAAAAAAGGCAGUAGAUACCAAUCGAAAUAGUAAUAAGUUAUAACUAAAUGAUAAAAACAUGAAAACAAAAAUCAUAAAAACGAAAAAAAAAAAAUGGGCGAAAACGAAUAGAGAAAAAGGAGAAGAUGAACAAAGUUACCUUCAAAACAGACGAAAUCUUCCUUCUAAAAUGCAAGCUUGAUCGCCGGAGAGGAUGAUGAUCUUGGAGAAGUGAAAAUGGAGGGAAGAAGAACAGACAGGGACUUAAUUGAUGUGUUCUGUAUGAAAUGUGAGGAUGUAUGGUAAUGGGAAACAUAGGGGUAAAAAAGGAAUUGCAGAAAAAUGAAGUUAAAAAAGUGAAAACUAAAAUUUUCGUAUUUUCUAUCAAUUUAGUCCCUGUACACGUGGCUUUCUUUUUCCCACGUGUACAAGCCAACACAGCACACUAACAGACCUUUUGGACGGAGGGACGAAAUUGAUGGACGUCAAAUAAAUUCAGGGACUAUUUUGAUAUUUUGUUAAAUUAGAGGACGGAUUUGACCGAUCGCUGAAAAUUCAGGGACGAAAUUGAUGGUUUACUCGUUUUUAGUUUUCAACUCAAUGGGCCAACCCGGAUCUAAACCACCCCCACACUCCUGACAUUUUUUAUUUUAUUUAAUUAUUAUAUUAUAUUAUCAAUCUCUAAAUUAUUGAACAUUAAUUAAUUUUUUAUAAUCGAUAAAAAUUAAGUCUUAUGAAUCACAUUUAAAAACACAAAUUUUUUUAUUUUUUUUUGAAAGAAAACACAAAAUUGUAUAGCUUAUAAAAAAAUAAUAUCUUUUUUAUCAUAACUCUUUUUUUCUUUCUUUUUUACAAAAAUAAACGAUAUUCAUUCAUUCAAAUUGAUAAAGUACAUCGAUACAAUACAAAUCCAAUUUCACUAAAAACAAAAAGGAUGAAUAUGUGAACAAACUCAUAACAUCCAUGUUAAUAGCAUAAAACGGCAAAGUACUUAUGCCUACAAAUAUGACUAAUAUGACUAUAUUCAUGUCACCGGAAUACUCAUGUGUCCGUAUCUGCAACGUUGACGACGCCAAAGUCAUUGUCAUUCGAUCGGAUCUGCACUUGCUCAAAGCUAAUCUUUCAACCUGAAUCAAAUAAACACCGCACUAAGACGAGAAAUAAAAAACACACCGUACAAAGACGGGAAAUCAAAACAAACAGAGUCGUUCAAAGACGACGAAAUCACAAAAAAACAAACUAAAGAAAACAGAAAAUCUAUGAAAUCACUUAUUCAAUUAGGAUAGCAGGAAAAGCAAUUCGGAUGGGUGAUUUUUGGGUCAAAAUUGACCCUAAAUCACCCCUCUGAAAAGAAGAAAAAGAAAAGGGUAACGGUCAUGGUUUGAGAAGGAGAGAAGAGAGAGAGCAAGAAAGGGAGUUUUUGAAAUUAUGGCUAUUUUUAUCAUGACUUAUUAAUAAGGGUCAUGUUUUUUAAAAAAUAAAUAAGUGUCAUGUUAAAGAAACAAGGGUUUUGUUAACAUGACCCUUAUUUCUUAAAAAAAAAAAAAAAAAAACAUGGUCAUGUUAUUUUAUUAUUCUGACAUUUUUUUUUUCUUUAUUUUUUUUUUUUGAAGAUCAGAACUAGAUAUUUUCUAGUUCAAGAUGGUUUGGCAUAUUUUAACUUUAUCAUCACUAGCGUUCAGGCCGGACAUCCGUGCAUGUCUGUCUGCUUUUUCAACUGCGCUAACGUAUAUAUUCUCCACCUUAUUUUUUUGUAUAUUAAUUAAAUUAAUAUAUAGUUUGUCAUUCACAAAUAUAAGAACUACAAAUCUGAUGAUCGGAGAUUCAUUUUUGCCCAUCCUCCUCUUUUUCUGUUUGUUAUUAUGAUAACAUAUGUAUACAAUAUAUUUAUUCCUUUUUGUAUAAUUUUAAAAAAAUGAUUACCGUUUAAGAAUUAAUUGCGGUUAAUUCUUCGUACACACCUUUAUUGAUAAUUUGUUGUCUUUCGAAAAACUACGAAUUAAUUAGAUAAUAUGUUAUGUGUGUAGUGUUUACCCUUUUAAAUGGCAAAAGUUAUGGUGCAUAAGGAUUCCUUAUGCACCGUGCAUAAACACUUUACAAACAUCGGAUCUAGUGUACACGUAUAAUAAUCCUAGUUUUCAUCUCUACAAUUCUCCCUCUCUCUCAAACAUUUCUCUCAAUAAAACAUAAAGCUCUCCCUCUCUCUCUACAAUUCAGAUGAGUCUUCAUCACUUCCGGCCACACAUGAUGAUUCCGGCACGGCGGCCGUCGGUGGCACCACCGCGCCGGAGUUCAAAACUCCGUCCAAAUCAAAAAGUUUUCACGGUUUUAGACAUCCUUUUGUGUUGAUUCCAAAUAUCGUCUUAGAUUUCUCAAAAAAACUCACACGAGCGUAGAUCUACGAGUAAAAAAACAAAACAAAAAGAGAAAAUGAAACUACCUCUUGUUCUUCACGGAUCCGUUUCGCGUUUUGGUCUUCUUCUCUGAUCCGGUUCGGAUUUGUUGUUGUGUUGAAGUGUUGUUCCGAUCCGGUUCGAAUCUUGUUGUGGUAGGCUGUACGAACUCUCCCUCUACCUCUUCUAACCGAUUCUGGAUGUUCUUCUUUAUGCGGGAACGACGUGGUUUUGAGUUAAAACCAAUUCGUCGUCGUAGAUAACGACAGAUCUGAACUUAUUUAUGGAUUUUUUGAUGAAUUCGAGAGUGGUAGAUGAUGUUUAUGUGAUUUUCUGUGGUUUAGUGUUCAUGAGGUUCACGGUUUCAGAUCUGAAACUGCUGGAAACCAUUAAGUAUAUCUAAUGGUUUUGGAGUACAACUGUUGGAAACCAUUAAGUACAUCUAACGGUUUUCCACAGCAAAAUGGUUUUGGCAUUCUGGUACGGUGAUGAUGAACGACGGUGUUGAUAAUGAGAUUGAAGAUUCUGGAAACCAUUUCCACAACAAAAUGGGUUUGGAGUACAACUCACAGAAACCAUUUCCACAGCAAAAUGAUUUUGGCAUUCCGGUACGGUGUUGAUGAUGAACGACGGUGUUGAUGAUGAGACUGAAGAUUCCAGUGGUGAUGAUGAUGAACGACGGUGAUGAUUCAGCUUGUUUCCGCGUUUGGUUCAUUUUGUUUUGUUUUGUUUGGUUUUCUUUGAAGGUGUAGGAAGAAUUAUGUUGGGAUUUAUGCACGGUGCAUAAGAACCUUAUGCACCAUAACCGAUCCCGUGGAACUGCCAAAGAUAAUUUUGGUUUAAUAACAAAAGCCACACCAAAAGUGGAACUACCAAGGGUAUUUUUGGGUAACAAAGUUUUCCCUUUAUAGAUAGUUAAAAAAUAGUAAUAUUGGCAUAUAUACCUGUUUCAACAAUUAUAUCAACAAGUAAGAAGGGUUUCCCACCAUCUCUUCAUCAAUAGGAGAAUCCAAACAUGAAACAAUUGAAGCUUUUAUUAAAAGUUCCGCUGUCGGGUUAAGUUGUAGAUUCAUGUAUGAUCGAUUUUUCAACUGCAUAUUUUUCUAUAGCAGAUACAUGAGCAUCAGCAUUUUGUGCACCAGAAUCUAAUGUCCAACCCCUUCAGAUAGAUACAAGUUUUAACUGAAUGGGUGUACUAAAUUUAUAGCCCUGUCAUCCCUAGAAUAAGUGUCUUUGUUAUACACAAGCACAAUUGUUUAGCUUUGUCAUCUCUAGACUAUAUUAGACUUAUCGCAGAAAAGGAUAUGUAGUGCCUUCCUUUCUCCAAUGAUAAGCAUAAAACAUCUAGUAGUAAGGGGUCUCAGAAUACUAGUCAAGUGCUACCCCUCUUUGUAUAUGAAUAAGGUAACAACUGUGAGUGUAGUUGCAUCCCCUAGAAAUAGAGUGGUCGAUACAUAUGUGACAAAUUUCUGACUGAAUACUAGUAAACUUGGUUUGAAUUAAAAAGAAACACCCAAUGACAACUGCUGCACUAUUACCUCUAGAAGAAUUAUUCAAUAAGAAGCAUUGAUUUGAUGAAGUUGGGAUGGGAUGGGAGGGGUAGAACAUACCUCGUUAGCUUCCAACUUUCAGAGCUGCAGGAAAUCUAAAACUGAUGGGACAUCUGAGUUAUUGGCAGAAGUUACCUACAACGUAAAGGUUAUUCAUUUCAAGAAAGCACACAAAAUCUGGUGUUGAUACCGAAAUGAUAAAUAACUUAUUUCUAAGUCUGAAUUGAAUUUACACAAUAGCUUAUUGGUCACAUUGUAGACAAGGUCGUGCACUAGGAACAUUCACGUAUCAGAAGUUGGUGCUCAAAAUCUGCAAAGAGAUCAUUCAGUAUAACAACC
rnacentral:lncRNA from 1 species